GGGAGGAUGGGGAAUCCGUGUGGCGGCCUCGAUGAGCAGAUCGAGCAGCUCCUGCAGUGCAAGCCCCUCGUCAAGCACGAGGCUUGCUUUUAGUUCAGCGAUUGCCAGGGGAUCCAAUAUCUGGCCUCCAUUGCACGAAGAGAAAUUGUUUAGGAGCAUCGUGUUGUGGUAGAACUUUGUGCUUCAUCAGUCAUACAAAGAGCAUGGGAAAAGCUGGUGCAGGUACAC